rnacentral:rRNA from 1 species
UUGAACGCUGGCGGCAGGCCUAACACAUGCAAGUCGAACGGUAACAGGAAACAGCUUGCUGUUUCGCUGACGAGUGGCGGACGGGUGAGUAAUGUCUGGGAAACUGCCUGAUGGAGGGGGAUAACUACUGGAAACGGUAGCUAAUACCGCAUAACGUCGCAAGACCAAAGAGGGGGACCUUCGGGCCUCUUGCCAUCGGAUGUGCCCAGAUGGGAUUAGCUAGUAGGUGGGGUAACGGCUCACCUAGGUGACGAUCCCUAGCUGGUCUGAGAGGAUGACCAGCCACACUGGAACUGAGACACGGUCCAGACUCCUACGGGAGGCAGCAGUGGGGAAUAUUGCACAAUGGGCGCAGGCCUGAUGCAGCCAUGCCGCGUGUAUGAAGAAGGCCUUCGGGUUGUAAAGUACUUUCAGCGGGGAGGAAGGGAGUAAAGUUAAUACCUUUACUCAUUGACGUUACCCGCAGAAGAAGCACCGGCUAACUCCGUG